GGUUGUCGUCAGCUCGUGUCGUGAGAUGUUGGUUAAGUCCCGCAACGAGCGCAACCCCUAUUGUUAGUUGCCAUCAUUCAGUUUGGGCACUCUAGCGAGACUGCCGGUAAUAAACCGGAGGAAGGUGGGGAUGACGUCAAAUCAUCAUGCCCCUUAUGACCUGGGCUACACACGUGCUACAAUGGUUGGUACAACGAGUUGCGAGUCGGUGACGGCGAGCUAAUCUCUUAAAGCCAAUCUCAGUUCGGAUUGUAGGCUGCAACUCGCCUACAUGAAGUCGGAAUCGCUAGUAAUCGCGGAUCAGCACGCCGCGGUGAAUACGUUCCCGGGCCUU
rnacentral:rRNA from 1 species